rnacentral:lncRNA from 1 species
UAUAAUAAAGUCGCUUCAAAAUGAAAGAUAAAACAUGGAGAGAACUCAAGAAACCAAAAAUAAAUGAGUAAUGAAAGAACUUUAAGACCACAAAUUCUGGUUAGAGUAGAGAGAGGGGAAGGGGAAGGGGAAGGGAGGAAAAAUAUGAAGAUGGAAGGAGAAAGGGAGUGAGAGGGAGAAGAUGGAAUAGGUGCGGGAGAGUGGGAGGGAGAGGGAGAUAUUUUUAUUUUAUUUAGUAUUUUCAAUUUUGUAGUUAAAUUAAGAUUGAAUAAUUGUUUUUUAUCAACAUAUGUCGCUUCUUAUUGGUCGCAAGGGUUUUUUUUUAACAGAUGUAACAAUAAGGGCCAACAUUGGCUAAUGAGUUAUAGUUUAGGUAUUCGGUUUAACCUAAAAAUAGG